rnacentral:rRNA from 1 species
CCUACGGGUGGCAGCAGUGAGGAAUCUUCCACAAUGGGCGAAAGCCUGAUGGAGCAACGCCGCGUGAAGGAUGAAGGCCUUCGGGUUGUAAACUUCUUUUAUGAGUGAAGAAUAUGACGGUAACUCAUGAAUAAGCACCGGCUAACUACGUGCCAGCAGCCGCGGUCAUACGUAGGGUGCAAGCAUUAUCCGGAGUGACUGGGCGUAAAGAGUUGCGUAGGCGGUUUAAUAAGUGAAUAGUGAAACCUGGUGGCUCAACCAUACAGACUAUUAUUCAAACUGUUAAACUCGAGAAUGGUAGAGGUAACUGGAAUUUCUUGUGUAGGAGUGAAAUCCGUAGAUAUAAGAAGGAACACCGAUGGCGUAGGCAGGUUACUGGGCCAUUUCUGACGCUAAGGCACGAAAGCGUGGGGAGCGAACCGGAUUAGAUACCCCAGUAGUC